GUCUAGCCUGCCCAGUGACUCUGUUUAACGGCCGCGGUAUCCUAACCGUGCGAAGGUAGCGUAAUCACUUGUUCUUUAAAUGAGGACUAGUAUGAAUGGCACCACGAGGGUUAUACUGUCUCCUUUCUCUAAUCAGUGAAACUAAUCUUCCCGUGAAGAAGCGGGAAUGAAACUAUAAGACGAGAAGACCCUAUGGAGCUUUAAACAAAAUAACAAUUGCUUAUUUAUUACUAAAUUCCAGAAAUUUAAAUAUUAUCAAAGCACUCUGAUUAUUAGUUUUAGGUUGGGGUGACCGCGGAGUAAAAAUUAACCUCCACAUUGAAAGGAUUCUUUUCCUAAGCAAAAAGCUACGACUUUAUGCAUCAAUAAAUUGACAUUAAUUGACCCAAUAUUUUGAUCAACGAACCAAGUUACCCUAGGGAUAACAGCGCAAUCCACUUCAAGAGCCCCUAUCGACAAGUGGGUUUACGACCUCGAUGUUGGAUCAGGGUGUCCCGGUGGUGCAGCCGCUACCAAAGGUUCGUUUGUUCACGAUUAAAACCUACGUGAUCUGAGU
rnacentral:rRNA from 1 species